UACGGAGGGUGCAAGCGUUGCUCGGAAUCACUGGGCGUAAAGCGUCCGCAGGCGGCCUGACACGUCGGAUGUGAAAGCCCUGGGCUCAACUCAGGAACAGCAUUCGAAACUGGCAGGCUUGAGUACGGGAGAGGGGGGUGGAAUUCCUGGUGUAGGGGUGAAAUUCGUUGAUAUCAGGAGGAACACCGGCGGCGAAGGCGGCCCCCUGGCCCGCAACUGACGCUCAUGGUCGAAAGCGUGGGGAGCAAACAGG
rnacentral:rRNA from 1 species